rnacentral:rRNA from 1 species
UACGAAGGGAGCUAGCGUUGUUCGGAUUCAUUGGGCGUAAAGGGUGUGUAGGUGGCGCCGUAAGUCGGGUGUGAAAUUUCGGAGCUUAACUCCGAAACUGCAUUCGAUACUGCGGUGCUUGAGGACUGGAGAGGAGACUGGAAUUCCCGGUGUAGCGGUGAAAUGCGCAGAUAUCGGGAGGAACACCAGUGGCGAAGGCGGAUCUCUGGACAGUUCCUGACGCUGAGGCACGA